rnacentral:lncRNA from 1 species
UCAUGGGAGAAGCGCUAAACUUUACCUCAACAUUUAUGUAAAGUUAAAGCUGCACAGAUUCUGAGUCUUGAAAGUUUAUUUCAAAGAAAAGACAAUGCCUGUGCCACAUAUUUGACUUGGUUUUAUAAAUAUUACGAAGCUCCAGGAAAUAUGAGCAGGAUCUCAAAUAUAUUCAACAAGCUUCCAAUUUUUGUCUUUUGAGAUGGUUGCUCUUGGAACACAGAAAUAUGCUUUAAGAUGUCAAGCCUCCUCUGCUGAUGCUGUAUGGAGAACAGACAAGCUUUCCCAUCAAGCCCUAACCAAACUGCAGAACUGUGAAUAAAAUCAAUAAUUGUUAUGAAA